CGCGAGACGCUACGGUCGUGCCGCCAUGCUCCUCGCGAUCAUCGUCUGCGCAGGAUUAUUUCAAGUUUAUGCUGCUAGAUUUAACUAUACCGACCGCAGCAUCCGAGCUAUAGAUCCAUUAGACCCCGGAGGCUGCUACCAUGAGGGCCGCUGGCACGCCGCCGGCACGCCUGUCCGCACUCGCGCUGCGUGCCUCCGCUGCACGUGCGCGCGAGGCGUGCUUGCGUGCGCGCGCAGAGCGUGCGCGCCGCUGCCGGACCCGCCGCCAAGGUGCCAUGUGCUGCAUAGGAAGGGGUCUUGCUGUCCUGAAUUGCAUUGUCCUGAUGGGGUGAAGUUGACGGAGCUCGGCGCAUCAGCGCGGUUCGAAGACGAAGACUUCUCGGAGACAGCUUCCAUCUCGUCAGUCGGACAUGCGUGCGUGGAGGGCGGCUCCGUGUUCGGCGCGGGGUCCGCGCUCGCACCGGGCGUGGCGUGCGAGCAGUGCUUCUGUUUGGGCGGCGCGCGGCGCUGCGUGAGGCCUACAUGUUUACCACCGCCGAGGGGAUGCGUCGCGCGGCCUGCUCCAGGAGCGUGCUGCCCUCAGAGAUACUACUGCUCACAUGAACCUCCAGCGCAUGGAACACACGACUGCAAGGUGGAAGACACGUGGUACAAAGAAGGCGAGCGCAUAACGUCAGCCGAGCGCGCCUGCACGCAAUGCUUCUGCCUGCGCGGUGCAGUGCGCUGCCAGCCUCUGUCAUGUGCACCGCCUUUACUAGGCUGCAAGCCGCUCCUCCGGCCUGGCGAGUGCUGCCCUCAUCAGUACCACUGUGAACAUGAUAAAUCUCAUCCGUUGCUAUCCAGCAAUUCACUAAUAUCAGUGCGGAAUGACGACCGCUCACUUCACACGUCCGAGUCAAACAAAGUUGAAACAUCAACAAUAUCUACUAGUACAACAACAAAAGCAGUUUCUUCAAGUAUUUCAAGUACUAAGACGAAUUCUCCCACGACAUUUGCUACCGAAAAAGCCCCUGUCAGCAGAAGCAAAGUAAAAAGAAAAACUGAUGAACUACACGCAAACACCACUAAGAACUCAGAUCAAAAUGUAACCUCAACAACUGAAUUGCCUUCUACGACGUUUGCCAGUACCACUGAAAAGCUAGUCCGAUCUAAUUUUGAAACUUCAACAAUGGAUUUACCCGAACCAGAAGAUUUGGAUGGCCAUGAAGAUUUACCAGACACGACUUCAACAGAACAACCAGAAGGCUCAGUCAGGAUUGUUAUUAAUGGAACCAUCAACUGUACAGCAGAGCUUUCUUCAACGUCAUUGCCUUUAAAUCUGACAGUCAAUGACACUGAAAGAAUUAAGAUGGAAACGCAACCUCGAAUACCAAUCCUAACGACAGGGAAUAUAGAGAGCCACACCUUCAAUCCUAAUGAUAUUAUAACUGAUAGAAGUGUAAAUGGAGAAUUUGAUGACAAUGAGAUGUUUACCAUCAACGUGACUAGUUCUCUGUCUACGAAUUCUUCCCGUGUUACUUCAGGACCGUCAAUUUCAACAGUGUCAAAGAUAGCAACUGACCUACCUUCGGUUUCAAAUAUGUCGAAGAAAACGAAUGAAUUUGAUUUCGAUUAUGCUGAGCCAACUCUGCCUCCAUCUCUACCUAAUUUAAAGAUCAUUCCAUUUGUAGCAGCCGAUGCCGUUGUUGACGAAGAGUCCCCGAAACAAGUGCUCACAUAUCCAAUACUCGAGAGAGAGGACAAAUACCCUGUAUAUUACCCAACUUUAGAAGGCAAAGAUACUCCAUUCGCUACAAGACGAGAAGACAUUUACCAUCCUACCCAAUACCCAGUCUUCACCUCAGAGAAGGUUGACACGUCACAAUACCCCGCUUUAAGUCACGAAGUUGACAUUAUUAGUUCUGACUACCCCACUGCCAAUAAUAACUUGCUGCAUGAACAAACAGUGUCUGCGUCUUUGGGAUCGCAGGCUUUGGAACUUAACAAAGCUGUCACCAAAAUACCAAGUACAAGCACCACGUUCAAGCUGGAAACACCGUCUAUCAACUUGUUUUCGCCUCCCGUUGAGACAGAAGGUGGAUUCAUACCAAAAGGACCGGGAAUAAUAGACGAGUACUAUGCAGUAUAUCCUAGCACACCUUCCGCGCCUUCUGUGCCACACCUGACCACUUCAAUGCAACUGGAUACAGUAAAAGAUUGCUUAACGGCCGACGGGCACCGCGUGCCCGAGGGCACGACCAUGGACCUGCUGUGCUCCGUAUGCUCCUGCCCCUGGGGGAAGAUCCACUGCAGCCCCCGUGCCUGCCUUGCGCCCGACGGCUGCUACUAUAACCCUGAACAACACUCUUCCACGGCGGAUGUCUGCUGUGGUGAACUCGUUUGCGUUGAAGAAAAAGAAACUACAACGACUACAACCACCACAACGACUACAGAAAAGAUUUCAGUAAAACCUAGUGAAAGUACAAAUUACAAUACAAACAAAUCAGUUGACAAAAUUACAACACAAAAUAAGACAGUGAUAGGAGCUGCAUUGGUUCCUAAAUUGGAGAGGGAAAAGUCUACUAAUGAAGUAACUACAACAGUUGUAAGUGAAAUAGCUAAUAACUAUAAACAUAAUAUUAGCACUACGUUAUUAACUGUGAACACACCGUCAUCAACUGAAGCUAUUUUCACUUCUCCAUCAACUUCGACCGCAGCUCCUGAACAUGAGGUCAAUCAAACACACUUCCCUUCUCAUGAUUACGAAGAAGAGGAAGACGACGAAGGAUUCUCCUUUGGCAGUGUUCUGAAACUUCUACUCAGUGACAGUUAUGAUGCAACUACAGCUGCAACUCAGAAAAAGAAACCUGUUAUUACAACGACCAAAGCACCGCCUACUAGAAUGCCUCCGUCUCCUAGUAAAAUAACCUCACCUCCCACUAGAACGACCUCUUCUAAUAGAACGUCGACUUCUAAAAUAACUACCACUCCGCAACCAACUAGCUCCAUAGAACCACCUAAGCCGGCCAUAGCUCCAUUCGUCCCUAUGCCUCACCACUACCCUUACCCGUACCCGCCUCCUAAGAAAACCUUCCACCAAAACACUGUCAACAGGAUAGACCACCUCGUGCUUGGAGAAGCGACUGCCAUCAGAAAAACGACACCACGCCCUCUACCCUUCAAACCGGUAUCCCCAAAGCUAACGACACAGAAACCCACAACUACUACAAGAAAAGAGAUUCAAACGUCAUCUCCGGAACGAGCUCCAGCGAAUGUGUUGCCUGGAGUAGGAGGUUUGAAACUGGCUGGAUGUAAUAUCUAUGGACGUAUGUACCGCGUGGGCAGGAUCAUAGCAGAGCUGUCGACGCCUUGCCAGGAGUGUCGCUGCACGGAGCUCGGUGUGCAGUGCCGACCACUCGCUUGCUGAGAAUCUAGCGAUAUUUUCAACUGCUGUCCCCAACUGAACAAAAACACAAUUAAGAAUAUUCGUUGAAAGGCAC